rnacentral:rRNA from 1 species
GACGAACGCUGGCGGCGUGCUUAACACAUGCAAGUCGAACGGCAAGGCCCUGCUUUUGUGGGGUGCUCGAGUGGCGAACGCGUGAGUAACACGUGAGUAACCUGCCCUUCUCUUUGGUAUAACUUCAGGAAACUGGGGCUAAUACCGUAUAGCAGCCCCUGUUGCAUGGAGGGGAUUGGAACGUUUCGGCGGUUGGGGAUGGAGGCGCGGCUUAGGAGCUUGUUGGUUGGGUAGUGGCUUACCAAUGCUUGGACGGGUAGCCGGCCUGGCAGGGUGACCGGCCACAUUGGGACUGGGAUACGGGCCAGAGGGCUUCGGGGGGCAGGAGUGGAGAAUAGUGCCAGACGGGCGGAGGCGGGAUGGAGCAACGCCGCGUGCGGGAGGACGGCUGUCGGGUAGGAAAAGGCUUUCGCCUGUGACGAGGCGUGAGGGACGGUAAUGGAGAAAGAGGCACCGGCUAACUAGGG